rnacentral:sRNA from 1 species
UCGAUAAAACCCUAAACCCACACGCGGCACCGUCACAUGUAUCCGGGUGCCCCGCACCUGACGCUUCAUGCUUAGCUGGCUAAAGGCCACGAUGCAUGAAGCGUCAGGUGCGGGGUUGAUACAUGGGGUCCGCGGCGGAAAAAC